rnacentral:rRNA from 1 species
AACGAACGCCGGCGGCGGGCUUAACACAUGCAAGUCGAGCGGGGUGAUGGUGCUUGCACUAUCACUUAGCGGCGGACGGGUGAGUAAUGCUUAGGAAUCUGCCUAUUAGUGGGGGACCACAUCUCGAAAGGGAUGCUAAUACCGCAUACGUCCUACGGGAGAAAGCAGGGGAGCACUUGUGAGCUUGCGCUAAUAGAUGAGCCUAAGUCGGAUUAGCUAGUUGGUGGGGUAAAGGCCUACCAAGGCGACGAGCUGUAGCGGGUCUGAGAGGAUGAUCCGCCACACUGGGACUGAGACACGGCCCAGACUCCUACGGGAGGCAGCAGUGGGGAAUAUUGGACAAUGGGGGGAACCCUGAUCCAGCCAUGCCGCGUGUGUGAAGAAGGCCUUAUGGUUGUAAAGCACUUUAAGCGAGGAGGAGGCUCUUUUGGUUAAUACCCAAGAUGAGUGGACGUUACUCGCAGAAUAAGCACCGGCUAACUCUGUGCCAGCCGCCGCCGUAAGAC